CCCCACCCCUUUAGUUUUGCUUAAUCCAGUUUGAGGUGGAUGUUUGCCAGUUACAGCUGAAAGAGUCCUGUCAACGGAGAUAUUGGUACCUGGAGUGGAAUCUUCCCCUCAAAACAUGGACCAACAGUGGAAGAUGGUUCUCCAAAAGAAAACUGAGCUUUCCCAAUGCUGUUAACAGAAAAAGGCGAAAACAACUAUUGCCUUCCACACUCGAUGAGGAACCUGGCCCCAAAAAGGGAAAUAAUUUGGGCUGUGGCUCCAUUCCAGUCUGAGGAAGUUCAAGAGGCUCUCUGGAACUUUAUGAGUGGUGGUGGGGCUGGGGAAGAUGGGCAUUUUCCCAGGACUUGAGCCAGUUGGUCAAGCCUCGAGUGCAGACAGGCAGAUGCUGGAGAUGGUGAGCGACUUGAACUCACUGGUCAAAGGCUCCUACCGGGCUGGAGGGCUCGGGGAGAAUCCGAAUCUGGGCCCUGAGACAGCUGGUGCGUCACACUUAGCUACUGCAGCAUCUCAGAAUCGUCCAACCCUACCGGAUAGCUCCUCGCUUAACCUCUGAGCUUGUACUCUCCUCUAAGAAUGGGAAAAAAAAUUAAUUUCUACUCCAUAAAGUUGUCGUAACAAUUACAACGAAAUAAAACAUGUGGGAUUCACAGAAAAGCAGUCAAGAAUUGCCACCCUUCAGGAGGAAAAGGAGGAGUGUCAGAAAUGGUGUUACUGUCAAGAAAUGGAGCCUCAGAAAGGAACCUUGAAUGAGACCCCGCCAGCAAAGUGCUAGAACCAGUGUAAUUUCAAAGGCUCUUUCUUCAGGACAGAGGAACUCCUGCUAUUUAUUUUGGCAGCUCUGACCUUUGCAGCAAAUGUCACCUGGGCCCCAUAGGGAGCAGAGAUUUAGGCUUAAGUUCUGUUUUCUGCUGGGGGCUGAAGCCCCUCUCUAGGCUCUGCAAA